rnacentral:rRNA from 3 species
AAAGGUAAGCUACUAAGAGCGAAUGGUGGAUGCCUUGACUGGUAAAGGCGAUGAAGGACGUACUAGACUGCGAUAAGCUACGGGGAGCUGUCAAGAAGCUUUGAUCCGUAGAUUUCCGAAUGGGGCAACCCAAUGUAUAGAGAUAUACAUUACCUAUAUAGGAGCGAACGAGGGGAAUUGAAACAUCUUAGUACCCUCAGGAAAAGAAAUCAAUAGAGAUUGCGUCAGUAGCGGCGAGCGAAAGCGCAAGAGGGCAAACCCAGUGCUUGCACUGGGGGUUGUAGGACUGCAAUGUGCAAGAGGUAAGUUUAG